GGAUCGAUGCAAUGUCUGUGCAUGAUUCUAACCAAUCCAGUGUGAUAAACCUAACCACGGGGGCGAUCUCAGGCAAUGAAGUAGAAAAUGGUCGUGCUACUAUUGAUUGGUCAAGCCUUGUGAUUGAACCAGAAAAUGAUGGGGAUGAAAAACCGCCGGACGAGAAAGCCAUGUUUGCUCUGUUUGGUUUAAAAACAGAGCCGGAUGAGAGAGCAACUGCCGUUCCUACUCCUGAUGUGGAGUCUGACUUACAUGAUAUCAAAGAUGCAGAUAUUGUUGUUGAUGAUAAGGCGCCAGAGGAGCCACUUAUUGCCUGGGAUGAACGAAACCCAGCCAUGGAUAUAGGGACACCUUAUCCUAACAUGGUUGAAUUUAGAAAGGCUUUAAAACAGUGGGCGGUCAAUGGAGAGUUUGAAUAUGGCACCCAAAAAAAUGAGCCAGGGAGGUUUCGGGCUUUUUGCAAAGGUCAUUCCAUAAUAGGUGACCCUUGCAACUGGGCUUUAACUGCUAGUUGGCAAAGGGAUGAAAAUUGUGUGAUGGUAACUGCCUUUUUGCUGCUAGGGCAUAUAGGCCGGAAGAAUAUCAACAUCACAUGGCAAAGGUAUUUGAUGCAUCUGAGAAAGUAUAUCCUUACCUUAGGGAUUACCAUAAUCUGUUAUGGAUGAGGUGCAUGUUCAACCCUGCCAUCAAGUGUGACUACAUAAAUAACAAUCUCGCCGAGUGCUUCAACUCUUGGGUGCGAGAUAUCAAGGACUUGCCGAUUGUUCAGCUAGCUGACAAGAUUAGAGAGAUGAUUAUGGAACUAUUUAGAAAAAGAAGAAUGAUUGGAGAAAGAUUUACAGGGAUAAUACUUCCAUUUGUCAUACACCAACUAAAUGCAAAGACUCGAGGACUAGGUCAUCUCAAGGCUAAAGCAUCAGCUGAUUGGAGUGGGGAAGUGAAAAAUGCUAACAAAGAGGAUGAAAGACAUGUGGUCAAAACUCUCACACAUGAAUGUACAUGUCUGCAAUGGCAGCACACGGGCAAGCCUUGCGACCAUGCACUAGCCUUCAUAAAUGUCUUGCAAGCUCGCAACUUUGUUAACAUGGAGGACUAUGUACAUGAGUACUACUCAGUUAGCCAUAUGAAGGUGUAAUUGAACCCCUUACGGACAAGAAUCAAUGGCCACACGUGGACACAGGCUUUGUGUUGCGUCCACCAAUUCCAAUAGGCAAGAAGAAAGGUGCUGGAAGAACAAGAAAACAGAGGAUAAAGAGUUGGUGGGAAGGUGGAUCAAGGAAAGGAUCCUUGAACAAAUGCAAAAAAUGUGGGGAGAUAGAACAUAGAGAAGCUGGUUGUCCUCAAAAUGGAACAAAGAAAAGAAAAAGUAGGGGGGAAAAGAAUCCAUCUCCAUGGUUUGAUGUUUCCGUUAGCAAUGCCGUUCCAUCUACACCAACCAAGAGCAAGAAUGAUGCCACUUGUAGCAGUCCUGGAGCUGUCACAAGAAGCCAAGCUGCAGCUCAAGCUAGUCCUGGACCUGUCACAAGGAGCCAAGCUGCUACCCCACCACCAAAACCUCCAGCAAAAGGAAAGAAGAAGAAAAUGACACCUAAGAAGAAGAAAUUAAGCGACCUGUGAGCUUGUUUGUGGCUGUGAUGAACUUGGCUGUUAGUGGAGACUAACUUUUAUUGUUGUGUAUGUGAGAUGCAAACUCACUUUUAUUUGGUCUGUAAGUGAGGUAGAGACUCACUUUUAUUUCCUAUGUAUGUGAGGUAAAGACUCACUUAUUUUGCUGUCAUGAAGUCCUGUAGAACAUGGCUGAAUUAUUCUCUAUGCUAUCAUUGAAUCAUUGUGACCCUAUAUUA